CGGAAAGCGAGAAAAGAUGAGAUAACAGUAAAUCAAGGCGAGGCUGUGAAGGAUGCAGAAGUGACUACCUUCCCUUCGACUAUUAAGGACCGAUUUACCUGUGUCCAGCCCUGGGCUCAAGGAAUGGGUAAAACAGGAGAUCAAGGCUGGAAGGAGCAGACCAGAUAAAUCACACUUUGACCCUGGCAACCAAAGAAUCGCAUGGAAGGUACAGAGGGAGCUCAGGUGUGAACUGGUUAACUGUAAGUUUAGAGGGUGAGAGAGAGGAAGCUCACAGGAAGAGUGAAAGACUUGUUUGUAAUAAUAUUAAAAAUACGCCCGGAGAUCAGGGUUGGAGGUGCUGCAAGAAAGUACUCCGGGGCUGGCAACAUGGAGGCAUGAAACACUUAGACAUAACAACAGUUACAUGUUCUCUGUCCCCGUGGAUAAGGAGUAGCAGAUGCCAACAGAGAGAUGCAAUUAAUACCCCUGUUCAGUUGAAGGGUUUGUGCAUAUAAUUUUCUGGUUAUUUAAGUCUUUUUAAGUGCCAUAGAUAACAAGGGCUCCAGGCAUUCUGGUGUAAAGGCAUCCUCCUUUUUCUGUCCCUCUUCUCCCCACCUGAAGUCUGGUCUAGCUUGUUCACUGCUAAAAAAUUUAAAAAUUAAAACCAAAGCCCUGGGGGAGGGUAUAGCUCAAGUGGUAAAGUGCAUGCUUAGCAUGCAUGAGGUCCUGGGUUCAAUCCCCAGUACUUCCUCUAAAAAUAAAUAAAUAAAGCUAAUUACCCUCCCCCAAAAAGGAAAAAAACAACAAAAAAACAAAAUUUCUGCCUCCUUAGCCCUUGCCCUCUACCCUUCCAUCAGUAUAGCACCAAACUUCCUGAAAGCAGUCUUUACUGUUUCUAGUCUCUUUCACACCCCACCAACCCAAAUCUGCUUUCUGCCCCCACCACUCCACUUAGAAGGCUUCAGCUGUGGUCCAUACUCCUUUCUUAUGUUUUUUUUUUAAUUGUGGGGGGUAACUAGGUUUAUUUAUUUAUUUUGGAGGAGGUAAUGGGGAUUGAACUCAGGACCUCCCACAUGCUAAGCAUGUGCUCUACCACUUGCACUAUACCCUCCCCCCACACCCUUUUCUUAACUGAGACAUUCAGGGCAUGGAUCUGGGUUCCCUUUCAACUCCAUCCACAGACAUUUUCCUGGUGAAGCUUCCACAGCCUAACCUUCCCCUAUGCCCUCAUCCUCUCCUUCUGUGCCUUGUUCUCCACUAGCCUCCAUCUUUCCUGGAUUGUCUUCCCCUGCCGCCUGCCUCCUGUAGGUCAUGUAUCCAUCCAUUCGCCUGGUUUUGGUGACCACCUGCUACUGAUGGCUCUUCAACCUGUGUCUCCAGCCCUGAGUCUUUCCCACCGUCUAGCCGCCUCUGAGCCAGGCAUUCUCUAGCCAUUUGCUCCUCAGGCUUCUGAAAUUUAAGUCCCCGUCUAAGCUCCUUUUUCGUCCCUCCCACGCUGAGUUGUGUCACCACUUAACCCACAGACAAUCAUUCUUUAGUGCCCACUCCUCAUUUGUAGAACAGUUUCCCCUGGGUGCCCAGGCUCAGCACAGUAAAGGUGAAGGUUUAUGGUAUCAAACUGAGCUAAUAUUUGACAGAUUGAAAAUAUGCUGUUGCCUCUGUCCCCUAGUACCAAACACUCCCAGCAACUUUCCUCUCCUACUUUCUCAAUGCAGCCUGAAUCAGUUUUCUUCUUCCUCUCUCUUCUAAUACCUGCUCUAUUAUUUUUCAAUUGUCCCUAGAGAAUGUUCCGUACCUCCAGCCUCCCUCUCCUCUUCUCCUCUUCUUUGAUAGCUCUGCCCUCCCCUUUUCCAGGCUCUGCUCGGACUCUGCCAAAUCCUUGACCUUUUCUCCACCCUCUGCCUCCUGUCCUAGCUUCUCUAUCUGAUAUUACUAACUGCCUCCUUCUUGAAACCUCCUCCAAUAUCUUUUUUUUAACCUAAUAACAGUAAGAGUUAAUAUUUAUUGACUAAAGAGCACUGAGUUAUUUACUGAGGACUUAAUAUGAGCCACCUGCUGUGUUAAGCACUUUAAAUAUCUUCAUUUGCUCCUUACAACGGCCCUGGGAAGUGGAUACUUUUAAAAUUAUACCCACUCCUCAAAUAAAGAAACAGGAUAUAGUGGAGUUAAGCAACCAGCCUAAAAUCACACGGCUGUGGAACAAGCCACGCUGGGAAUCAAAUGCAGAUCAGCCUUGGAAUCUGGAUUUUAUUCUAAGAGUGAUGGGAAGUCUUUGAAGGGUUUUAAAAGGAGGAGUGAAUGAUAUGGUCUGAUGCAUUUUUCAAAAUAAACAAAUUUUUAAACCUGUUAGGAGUGAGGGGUAUAGUUCGGUGGUAGACCACAUGCCUAGCAUCCAUGAGGUCCUGAGUUCAAUCACCAGGACUUCCAUUAAAAGUAAUUAAUUAAUUAAUUAACUUUCAAGAAAAAAAAAAGCUGUGUUAGAGUCACAGCAAAAUUAAGCAGACAAUACAGAGAUUUCUCAUCUACCCUCUGUCCCCACGCACACACCACCUCCCCUACUUGAUUUGUGUUUUUAAAAUAUUACUUGGCUGCUCUGGGGAUAAUAAAUUGGAGGGAGGCAGAGGAGAUGGGGUUGUGGAUGAGUGUGCUGGCAAUGAGGCUGGAGAGAAGGGGGCCAGUUUGAAAUAUGCUUUGGAAAUAGUGUCUGCAGGGCUUGGUGGUGGACUGGAUGUGGGGUUGAGGGAAAGGGAAUCAAGGAAUCUAGGUUUUUAGCUUGAACGUAGGCGGAUGAUGACGCUAUUAUUUCAAUGAGAAACCCUAGAAGAGGAACAUAGUCAGGAACUUGACUUGGGGCUUGUUUGAAACAUCCCAGAGGAGAGCUCAGUCAGGCAGCUGGAGGCAUGAAUCUGCAGCUCAGGAGAAAGCUGGGGCUGGAGUCACGCAUUUGGAGCCCUGAGCACAGACGGGAUUCAGAGCCCUAGAUCUGGGUGAUCUCUCUGGGAAGUAAGUGUUGAGCUCGCUGUUCUCAUAGAGGAAGAGACAGUCCCAGAGACGCCAAGUGACUGGGCCAAAGUUAAACAACAUGAGUGGCGCAAGGGCGGGAAGAACAUGACUGUGUUGGGAAGUACAGGAGGCCUGAAGGGGCUUUGGAGGGAACAGCGGGGAGAGGUAGGUUGGAACCUAGUUCUGGCAGACUUCUAAUCCAGGCAAAAAUGUGUCCUGAUUCCAGAGGCCCCUGAAUGAUGUCUAAAGCCUUUUAUUGGAUUCUUCUGGGUAGAACUGAAUCAUCCCAGAGAACUGAUGCCCUUGGUGGGAAUUUAGUCCUCCCUGGCAGGCUCCAGAAGGCAGUGAGAUGAGAGGGAUGUUUUUCUGGACAGGCAGCUCUUUCGGGCCUCUCAGAUUAAACUCUGACUUUACAGCUCAGUCUGGAGAUCCCAGGCAGCCCCCAAGAUGGACAGCUCAGAUGAACGGCAGGGCAGAUUUGGAGAACUUUCUCUUCCUUCAGGGUUGGCAGGAGGGGAGACUCCAUCUUCUCUAAAUAAGCAGGAGACUUGGGCCUGGCCUCAGGCAGGGGGAUCCUCUUUCUUGUCCAAGUUCCACCUCUAAGGCCGGUUUCCCCUUUGUAGAGACUAGGAUUUGGUGAGUCCCAGCAUCUCUGAGUUGCCCAGCACCCUUUUCCUUCCAAGAACAAACUGGGGGCACCAGGACCAAGAAGAAUCAGAUAUUCCAAGCUGGACUGAGCAUCCUGAAGAGGAAGGGAGGUGAACAGAGGACAGAGAACGGCAUGCCAGUCGGUCUCAGGUCUGCUUCCUGGCUGGUCUUGACAAGAAAGAAUGGACAGAUGGACCAGCCAACAUAGAUGUUCUGUUGCUCUUCACCAUUUCAAUUCAUUUAUAAAUAAGCUAUUAUUGCCAUUUCUUUGUCAAUCUCUUGUGAGUCUAGCUGGCUUGAGUCAGGUGUACCUUCAUUCAACAUUAAAUCUGUGAUGUACCAAG